GUGCCCAUAGCUCAGUAGGAUAGAGCGGCAGUUUCCUAAACUGUAGGCCGUUGGUUCGAAUCCAAUUGGGCACACCA
rnacentral:tRNA from 1 species